rnacentral:rRNA from 1 species
UGCGAAGGGGGCUAGCGUUGUUCGGAAUUACUGGGCGUAAAGCGCACGUAGGCGGACUACUAAGUCAGGGGUGAAAUCCCGGGGCUCAACCCCGGAACUGCCUUUGAUACUGGUAGUCUCGAGUCCGGAAGAGGUGAGUGGAAUUCCGAGUGUAGAGGUGAAAUUCGUAGAUAUUCGCAAGAACACCAGUGGCGAAGGCGGCUCACUGGCCCGAUACUGACGCUGAGGUGCGAAAGCGUGGGGAGCAAACAGG